UACGGGGGGGGCAAGCGUUGUUCGGAAUUACUGGGCGUAAAGGGCUCGUAGGCGGCCAACUAAGGCGGACGUGAAAUCCCCAGGCUCAACCUGGGAACUGCAUCCGAUACUGGAUGGCUUGAAUUCGGGAGAGGGAUGCAGAAUUCCAGGUGUAGCGGUGAAAUGCGUAGAUAUCUGGAGGAAUACCGGUGGCGAAGGCGGCAUCCUGGACCGACAUUGACGCUGAGGAGCGAAAGCCAGGGGAGCAAACGGG
rnacentral:rRNA from 1 species